UGGGGAAUUUUGGACAAUGGGGGAAACCCUGAUCCAGCCAUCCCGCGUGUGCGAUGAAGGCCUUCGGGUUGUAAAGCACUUUUGGCAGGAAAGAAACGUCGCGGGUUAAUACCCGCGAAACUGACGGUACCUGCAGAAUAAGCACCGGCUAACUACGUGCCAGCAGCCGCGGUAAUACGUAGGGUGCAAGCGUUAAUCGGAAUUACUGGGCGUAAAGCGUGCGCAGGCGGUUCGGAAAGAAAGAUGUGAAAUCCCAGAGCUUAACUUUGGGAACUGCAUUUUUAACUACCGGGCUAGAGUGUGUCAGAGGGAGGUGGAAUUCCGCGUGUAGCAGUGAAAUGCGUAGAUAUGCGGAGGAACACCGAUGGCGAAGGCAGCCUCCUGGGAUAACACUGACGCUC
rnacentral:rRNA from 1 species